ACAAACAAUCCUUGUUCAAUACAGUAGUAAUCCAGCAAUGGGGCUGAAGGAAAUCAACAGCACACUAGACCUAGCUCAGCGAGAGGAGCAACAGCUUUAUGGCAUUCAUGCUCUUGCUUCUGCCUGCAUUCACACACGGGCUCUGCAGAGACCAUCUGUGGUGUUCGAGGAAUGCACGAUUCCUGCCUCAUGUCAUAAAAGUUUGCUUCCCAGGAAGAUGCUGGUUCUGCUGCCUGUGGGACCCUUUGUGCGCAUGAAAGGAGAGGAGGGAUGGGUUUUUGCCAUCUAUUUUAACAACGCUAAUUAAAUAAAGAUAUCCACAGAGCACGGAGCAUCGUUAAUUACAGCCCUUUUCACAGAGAGUGUGUGCAGAGGGGGGGGAUGGCACAGAAGCCAAGUCACACAGAUGCACAGAAGUCAAUGUACUGGAACACCCCCAGCUCCAGUUCUACUGCCAGCUCACAGGGAGGGAGCUGCUGACCCCAGGCCUGGCGGAGGGGGCCUAAAAACCUUUUUGGGCCAAUCUUGAACUGCAGCAUAAAAAAUAUGCCCCUUGCUUGAGUCACAGCAUGGUCAGGCUGCCGGAACGUGCUCAGCACUCCAGCAGUGUGAGAGAACUGAAGGUGAUCUCAGCACAUCUCCUGUAGCUUUUAAGACUUUAAUGUGACACUUUAGUGCUGACAGCACUCGGCAUUCCCUUACAGGCUGCACUGAGAUUCACUGGCAUGUUUUAGAGGGCUUAGAAGGAUGCGCAUUGCUCUCACGUUUAGCUAUCUCCAGUCACUCUAUACCAUAUUUCUCCAGUUUAGAAGCAAAGAGAUGCUGUUGCUAACGCUGCCACAACACAACCAGUGUUUCUGCUCAUGAACGUACACUGACACCACCUGCUUGCAGGUGCCACGGAGCGGACUGUCCAGACUCAGCACAGAUAGAGUAACUGAAAGCGUUGCUCUUUGCCUUAGUAGUAGACUCACAGCCCUCUGAACGAGUUGAGACUGCGGCAAAGCACGGAUCCCACAAAGCCUGCGGUUCGUAUGAGGUGCGGAGCGCCGAGGAGGGCCUCUGGCGGAGUCCCCGGCUCUAAGUCCCCCAGCUCGGCUCUGCUCUCCACCUGAAGAAAGCGACUACCACCCAGUGGUGCUGAGGGUUAUUACAGCUGUGGGAAAUGCCGAUGAAAUUGCUUAUAUUUGGUACGAUGCGAUGUUUUCUUCGGUAGUGGAAGAAGCAGUGAGAAACGAGGCCAGUAACAUCUACAAGUGACCUCUGCUGCUCCUCAAAGUGCUAAAAGGAAGAAAGCAGCAGCAGUCAGAAAUGUGGCAUUGCCUCCAUUGGAUACAAACAAACUGCUUGGAUUUGGGGUGAUCCAAGCUGCUUCACUUGUGUUCUGCCAGAAUUUCCACAAAACAACAUGUGUGUGCUAACCUCAGAGCUUCAGGUGCUUGCACGUGCAACUGGCACUGUGCUGCUGAACAUGGUUGCCCAACGAGGUUGUGGAUGCCCCAUCCCUGGAGGCAUUCAAGGCCAGGCCGGAUGUGGCUCUGGGCAGCCUGGUCUGGUGGUUGGCGACCCUGCACAUAGCAGGGGGGUUGAAACUACAUGAUCAUUGUGGUCCUUUUCAACCCAGGCCAUUCUGUGAUUCUGUGAUUCUAUGAUAUGGUGUCUUCUAUCCCAUCUUUCAGCCCCCCAGUUUGAGAUAGAUUUGUGGUCUUUAAUCUGUCUUAAAGGUCGUUACCAGUGACUGUUGCUCACUGUCUUCCUGUGCAAGGCCUUGUGUGCAAGGCCAGACUAAAGGAGGAAACUGGGAGAAGGAAAGAAGGAGUGUGGGGAGCACACCAUCACACAAGUACUGUCCCUGUGGUGGUGGUAGGGGGUCUGGAGGUGUUCAGAAAAUGUGGAGAUGUGGCACUGAGGGACAUGGUUUAGCGGGCAAGGGUUGAUGGGUUGAUGGUUGGACUAGAUGGUCUUAGAGGUCUUUUCCAACCUUAACAGAAUCUUUCCCCCCCGCACAGGGGGCCAUAAAAAAAUAGAGAGAAUUGUUAAAUAUUGCAAGAAUGAAAGAAAGAUGUAAGUGAUCACACGUUGUAGUUGCCACAUUAUCAGUAAUGACAUUAUCUGAUUAAACUCACAGAGUUGAAUUCUGCAGAAUGUUUACAUGAAGCCUUCAAAUCUGAAUCUGUUCCUCUCUUUUUCCAAUGUCAUGGACAAAGGAGCAUGUACUCAAAGUAUAAUUAUUCAAUUCAUAUGUAGAUUCUGAAAAUAAAAUCUCGAAGCUGAUAGUGGAUUUUCAGGAAACUU
ensembl:lncRNA